AUGAACGCUAGCUACAGGCUUAACACAUGCAAGUCGAGGGGCAUCAGGGUGUAGCAAUACACCGCUGGCGACCGGCGCACGGGUGAGUAACACGUAUCCAACCUGCCCUUUACUCGGGGAUAGCCUUUCGAAAGAAAGAUUAAUACCCGAUGGCAUAACAUGACCUCCUGGUUUUGUUAUUAAAGAAUUUCGGUAGAGGAUGGGGAUGCGUUCCAUUAGGCAGUUGGCGGGGUAACGGCCCACCAAACCUUCGAUGGAUAGGGGUUCUGAGAGGAAGGUCCCCCACAUUGGAACUGAGACACGGUCCAAACUCCUACGGGAGGCAGCAGUGAGGAAUAUUGGUCAAUGGGCGAGAGCCUGAACCAGCCAAGUAGCGUGAAGGAUGACCGCCCUAUGGGUUGUAAACUUCUUUUAUAUGGGAAUAAAGGGUGCCACGUGUGGCAUUUUGUAUGUACCAUAUGAAUAAGGAUCGGCUAACUCCGUGCCAGCAGCCGCGGUAAUACGGAGGAUCCGAGCGUUAUCCGGAUUUAUUGGGUUUAAAGGGAGCGUAGGUGGACAUGUAAGUCAGUUGUGAAAGUUUGCGGCUCAACCGUAAAAUUGCAGUUGAUACUGCGUGUCUUGAGUACAGUAGAGGUGGGCGGAAUUCGUGGUGUAGCGGUGAAAUGCUUAGAUAUCACGAAGAACUCCGAUUGCGAAGGCAGCUCACUGGACUGCAACUGACACUGAUGCUCGAAAGUGUGGGUAUCAAACAGGAUUAGAUACCCUGGUAGUCCACACAGUAAACGAUGAAUACUCGCUGUUUGCGAUAUACAGUAAGCGGCCAAGCGAAAGCAUUAAGUAUUCCACCUGGGGAGUACGCCGGCAACGGUGAAACUCAAAGGAAUUGACGGGGGCCCGCACAAGCAGUGGAGUAUGUGGUUUAAUUCGAAGCAACGCGAAGAACCUUACCAAGUCUUGACAUCUGCCUGACCGGUGAGUAAUGUCACCUUUCCUUCGGGACAGGCAAGACAGGUGGUGCAUGGUUGUCGUCAGCUCGUGCCGUGAGGUGUCGGCUUAAGUGCCAUAACGAGCGCAACCCUUAUCUUCAGUUACUAACAGGUCAUGCUGAGGACUCUGGAGAGACUGCCGUCGUAAGAUGUGAGGAAGGUGGGGAUGACGUCAAAUCAGCACGGCCCUUACGUCCGGGGCUACACACGUGUUACAAUGGGGGGUACAGAAGGCCGCUACACAGCGAUGUGAUGCCAAUCCCUAAAGCCCCUCUCAGUUCGGAUCGAAGUCUGCAACCCGACUUCGUGAAGCUGGAUUCGCUAGUAAUCGCGCAUCAGCCACGGCGCGGUGAAUACGUUCCCGGGCCUUGUACACACCGCCCGUCAAGCCAUGGGAGCCGGGGGUACCUGAAGUACGUAACCGCAAGGAGCGUCCUAGGGUAAAACUGGUGACUGGGGCU
rnacentral:rRNA from 1 species